UGAAUGCACAAUGUAAGUCGCUUUGGAUAAAAGCGUCAGCUAAAUGACAUGUA
rfam:Gasterosteus aculeatus cont1.007832, whole genome shotgun sequence.